CAUAGGUUAAUGAGGCGAACCGGGGGAACUGAAACAUCUAAGUACCCCGAGGAAAAGAAAUCAACCGAGAUUCCCCCAGUAGCGGCGAGCGAACGGGGAGCAGCCCAGAGCCUGAAUCAGUAUGUGUGUUAGUGGAAGCGUCUGGAAAGGCGCGCGAUACAGGGUGACAGCCCCGUACACAAAAAUGCACAUGCUGUGAGCUCGAUGAGUAGGGCGGGACACGUGGUAUCCUGUCUGAAUAUGGGGGGACCAUCCUCCAAGGCUAAAUACUCCUGACUGACCGAUAGUGAACCAGUACCGUGAGGGAAAGGCGAAAAGAACCCCGGCGAGGGGAGUGAAAAAGAACCUGAAACCGUGUACGUACAAGCAGUGGGAGCACGCUUAGG
rnacentral:rRNA from 1 species